rnacentral:rRNA from 1 species
UACGUAGGUGGCAAGCGUUGUCCGGAUUUAUUGGGUUUAAAGGGUGCGUAGGCGGCCUUGUAAGUCAGUGGUGAAAUACUCUAGCUUAACUAGAGGGGUGCCAAUGAUACUGCAGGGCUUGAGUACAGAUGAGGUAGGCGGAAUUGACGGUGUAGCGGUGAAAUGCAUAGAUAUCGUCAAGAACACCUAUAGCGAAGGCAGCUUACUGGGCUGUAACUGACGCUGAGGCACGAAAGCGUGGGGAGCAAACAGG